rnacentral:rRNA from 1 species
ACGAACGCUGGCGGCGUGCUUAACACAUGCAAGUCAACGGGGGCUCGCAAGAGCAACCGGCGAACGGGGUGCGUAACACGUGAACAACCUGCCCUCGUGUGGGGGAUAAGCCGGGCUAACGCCCGGGGUAAUACCGCCAUACGUUUCUCUUGGAGGAGGUCUCCGGGAGAGGAAAGCUCCCGGCCGCACGGGGGAGGGGUUCGCGGCCUAUCAGCUAGUUGGCGGGGUAAUGGCCCACCAAGGCGACGACGGGUAGCUGGUCCUGAGAGGAUGGCCAGCCACAUUGGGACUGAGGAGACGGCCCAGACUCCUACGGGAGGCAGCAGUGGGGAAAUCUUGCGCAAUGGUCGAAAGACUGACGCAGCGACGCCCGCGGUUGGGAGGACGCCCUUUCGGGGUGUAAACCACUGUUGCCCGGGACGAACGAGCGCUUUCGAGCGCUGUGGACGGUAUACCGGGUGAGGAAGCACCGGCUGACUCCGUGCCAGCAGCCGCGGGUAAUACGGAGGGUGCGAAGCGUUGUCCGGAAUCAUUGGGCGUAAAGAGCGCGUAUAGGUGGGCCCGGUCAGUUUCCGUGGUGAAAGCGCGGGGGCCUCAACCCUGCGUCGGCCAUGAAUAUACUGCCGCGGCUGGAGCACUGUAGAGGGCAGGCGGAAUUCCGGGUGUAGCGGUGGAAUGCGUAGAGAUCCGGAAAGAACACCGGUGGCGAAGGCGGCCCUGGCUGGGGCAGUUGCUGAACACUGAGGGCGCGACAGCGUGGGGAGCAAACAGGAUUAGAUACCCUGGUAGUCCACCGCCGUAAAACGAUGGGGCACUAGGCCGCUUGGGGGAGCGACCCCCCCGAGGGGCCGGGCGCUAAACGCAAUUAAAGUGCCCCGCCUGGGGAGUACGGGCCCGCAAGGCUGAAACUCAAAGGGAAUUGACGGGGGCCCCGCACGAGCGGGUGGAGCAUGUGGUUUAAUUCGACGCAACGCGAAGAACCUUACCUAGGCUUGACAUACACGGGAAACCGGUCAAGAGAGAAACGGCCGGCCCUCUUCGGAGGCCCGUGCACAGGUGCUGCAUGGCUGUCGUCAGCUCGUGUCGUGAGAUGUUGGGUUAAGUCCCGCAACGAGCGGCAACCCCUGUCUCUAGUUGCCAGCCGCGUCAUGGCGGGGACUCUAGAGAGACUGCCGGUGCCAAACCGGAGGGAAGGUGGGGAUGACGUCAAGUCAUCAUGGUCCUUACGGUCUAGGGGCUACACACGUUGCUACAAAUGGCGGGGGACAGAGGGUCGCGAGCCGGCAACGGCCAAGCCAAUCCCCGAAAACCCCGCCUCAGUUCGGAUUGUCCGUCUGCCAACUCGGACGGCAUGAAGCUGGAAAUCGCUAGUAAUCGUGGAUCAGCUACGGCCACGGUGAGUACGUUCCCGGGCCUUGUACACACCGCCCCGUCACGCCAUGGAAAGCUGUGAGCGCCCGAAGUCCGUUGUCGGAAACCCGCAAGGGGCCAAGCGGCCGAAGGCGAGCGCAGUGACUGGGGGC